ensembl:lncRNA
AAAAAAAAAGAAAAUAGCAAUUCAGUAUUCAUGAAGAAUAUAUUCUAUUUCUGAAAACAAAUGCACUAUUUUUUAAAAGUGAACUUCAAAAUUAUUUUACAAGGGAAGAUGUUAAACUGCAUUUUUCUAUUCUGCUUCAUUAAUCAGUUUCUAUCAUCCUCAUAGAGAGGAAGCUUUACCUCCUUAGCUGUGAAAAUGCAAACUCUCAGUCAUUCAUAUUUUAGUCCUUGAAACUGUGAGGAGAUAUUCCAGGUUGCACAAUGGAACUGAAAUAAAACCCUAGCUGAUCAAUUUUAUAACAUGCUGUGUGAUUAGUAUGACCUCUUGUGUUAAACACAGGAAUAUUCAUUUUUUACUUGCAUAAUGCAAGUAGAUGAAAUGUCUGAAAGUUAGUAACAACACUGCUCUUGCCAUUUCUAUAAAUCAACAGGUUAGCAGCGGUGGAGAGGCUUGUAAGUUUUAUAUAUGAAUUAGAAAAAUAAACGCCAUAAUUUCCCCAUAUGGAAUACACCUACCAUAUAUUUUGGUCUACUGACACUUUUAAAGUUCAAUUUUUUCUUCAAAAUUAAGAUUAAAUUGCAGGACAACGCCUCAGUGACUUCUAAAUAAAACAUGCAGAUUUACAAUUUUCUCAAUAAGCCUUUCAUCAUAAACUAGGUCCUGAGGACUUCUGUUAAGGAGAACGCUUAAAAGGUUUAAGCAAACAUUAAGGACACGGCAUGAACACAAAAGGGGUGAUUAAACCUUGGCUUACCUAAAUCUUUAACUAGUCCACAAAACAUCUAUUUUAACAGCAUGCUUGUGCAGGACUUUCAUUUACAGAGUGAUAAAAGCCCAGGUUCCUUUAAGAUUCUCAUUUUCUAAGAUCCAUUUGAUUUGUAUGCGUUUGAAAACACAGGCAAGAUAGAAACAGUGAGAUGGAAUUAUAGCAACUAGUUUUUUUCGAACAAACAAUGGAAGAUUUGAAGCUGUGCCAAACAGCCUGUUCAUUCUUGAAAAUGUCUUUUUUCUUGGUCUUUGGUGCUCAAGCGAACUGAGUGCAAUGGAGAGCAUCCAAAUACACUUCAAUGUAAUUUAAAAACACCAACUGAAGUACUUGGAAAGUGCUUUAUCAUUCACUCAAGAAUGUGUGUGUGGAUUUUUAUGCACAAGUUGCCUGUAUUGGUCACUCUCUAAAUAAUCUAUAUUGUACAACCAUGAUAUUUACUGUAUUAGUGAGGGUUGUUUGUGUGUGAGCAAUAUGUGCUUUAUUUAAAGGUACACCUUGGAAUAAAUCAGUGGAAUUUUAUAGCCGAGUAUAUUUUAAAACUUUGUUAACGCCUCACCCAUAUUUCUAAUCUGCAAGCCAUUCAAGGCUCUAGAGUUUCAGAGGAAACUGGAUGUUGUGUUAGACAUAGAAAUUUUAAGGGCAUAGGCUUUUAUCCUAGAAGGGCUUGGUGAGUUUUGUCUUUAAUGUUAGCGAGAAGUUGAAGAUGUAAAGAAACCUUCCACACUAUCAAAUUUCCUAGUUGAUUUUUCAAGCUGCUAGAACAGUGCUGCCUGACUGGAGAAAAAAAACAACAAACCCAAAACAAAGCCAACAAAACCAAACAAACAGAAACUCUCCAACAAAACAAACCCUCUUGUAAUCUCACCUAGGGGACAGGAAUGGCACACCUGUAACAAGGUAAGUCACUUACCGCGUUCACGAUUGCUCUCUUAAAGACUCUUUCUUUAAGUAAAUGCAGGGACUCUGCCUGGUGCAGACAUUAUUCUGCCACAGGGAGCUGCGGGAAUGAAUUAUUCGGUGACAGUUGGGAGCGGAAGGGGAAGAGGCAGAAUGGUAGCCAGCGACUAGCGCAAGGACUGCACUGUUGCGGGGGGACGC